GGGGUCAGGGGUCAGAGGUCAGCCCAGGGUCAAGGGUCAGGGGUGGGGUCAGGGGUCAGCCAUGGGGCAAGGGGUCAGAGGUCGGGGUUGGGGUCGGAUUUGGGGUCAGGGAUCAGCCCAAGGGUUGGGGGUUAGGGGUCAGGGGUCAGCCCCAGGGUCAAGGGUCAGAGGUCAGGGGUCAGCCGUGGGGUCAGGGGGCAGCCCAAGGGUCAGGCAUGGGGUCAGGGGUCAAGGGUCAACCCCAGGGUCAUCCCAGGGGUCAGCCCCAGGGUCAGGGGUCAGAGGUCAGCCGUGGGGUCAGAGGUCAGGAGACAAGGGUCAGCCAUGGGGUUGGGGACUAGAAGACAGUGCUCCGCUAUGGGGCAGGAAGUGCCGCUAUGGGGCAGGAGGGACCGCUAUGGGGCAGGAGGGACCGCUAUGGGGCAGGAGGAUUGGCUAUGGGGCAGGAGGGCCCGCUAUGGGGCAGGAGGCUCCGCUAUGGGGCAGGAAUGGGAUACCACGGAGCAGGAGGGUUGGCUAUGGGGCAGGAGGCUCCGCUAUGGGGCAGAAGGGCCCGCUAUGGGGCAGGAGGCUCCGCUAUGGGGCAGGAGGGUUGGCUAUGGGGCAGGAGGGGCCGCUAUGGGGCAGGAGGCUCCGCUAUGGGGCAGGAGCUACGCUAUGGGGCAGGAGGAUUCACUACGGGGCAGGAGGCACCGCUAUGGGGCAGGAGGGCCCGCUAUGGGGCAGGAGG
rnacentral:lncRNA from 1 species